AUCGAACGCUGGCGGCAUGCCUAACACAUGCAAGUCGAACGAGUGGCGGACGGGUGAGCAGUGUCUGGGAAACUGCCUGAUGGCGGGGGCAGACUUGGGGAACCGGUGGCUAAUACCGCUAAACGUCAUAUGGGCUCAGAUGGGAUUAGCUUGUUGGUGGGGUAACGGCUCACCAAGGCGACGAUCCCUAGCUGGUCUGAGAGGAUGACCAGCCACACUGGGACUGAGACACGGUCCAGACUCCGACGGGAGGCAGCAGUGGGGAAUAUUGCACAAUGGGCGCAAGCCUGAUGCAGCCAUGCCGCGUGUGUGAAGAAGGCCUUCGGGUUGUAAAGUACUUUCAUCGGGGAGGCGUUACCGGCAGAAGAAGCACCGGCUAACUCCGUGCCAGCCGCCGCGGUAAUAC
rnacentral:rRNA from 1 species